rnacentral:lncRNA from 1 species
CAUGAAACCCUAGUUCUCCCUCUUAUAAAUAGGGACUAAUUCUAGGCCCUAUGGUGAUAUGAAAAAUCAAAAAAAAAAAUUAGAGGAAAAUAUUUUGAAAAAUUGGAGUCUUCUUCCUCCUCUUCCUCUCCGUUCUUCCUAGUCCUCAAGAUUGUCUUUUGAGAUCUGUGAGAGAACAACCUUAGCCAUCGAAGAGGAGUCUUUUGCAAGAGAGCUAGCACCCUAGUGAAGAUACCUAUCUUUGGCUGGAACGAGCCUCGUGUGGAUACCUGUGGAGGUCGAGCGCAUGCAUGACUA